UACGUAGGUGACCAGCGUUGUCCGGAUUUACUGGGCGUAAAGAGCGCGCAGGCGGUCGUUCAAGUGGAGUGUGAAAGCCCCCGGCUCAACUGGGGAGGGUCAUUCGAUACUGAUCGACUUGAAGGCAGGAGAGGGAAGCGGAAUUCCCGGUGUAGUGGUGAAAUGCGUAGAUAUCGGGAGGAACACCAGUGGCGAAGGCGGCUUCCUGGCCUGUUCUUGACGCUGAGGCGCGAAAGCUAGGGGAGCAAACGGG
rnacentral:rRNA from 1 species